AACUCGGCCAUUUAGAGGAAGUAAAAGUCGUAACAAGGUCUCCGUUAGUGAACCAGCGGAGGGAUCAUUACCGAGUUUUCAACUCCCAAACCCCUGUGAACAUACCAUUUUGUUGCCUCGGCGGUGCCUGUUCCGACAGCCCGCCAGAGGACCCCAAACCCAAACUUCCUUGAGUGAGUCUUCUGAGUAACCGAUUAAAUCAAUCAAAACUUUCAACAACGGAUCUCUUGGCUCUCGCAUCGAUGAAGAACGCAGCGAAAUGCGAUAAGUAAUGUGAAUUGCAGAAUUCAGUGAAUCAUCGAAUCUUUGAACGCACCUUGCACCCUUUGGUAUUCCGAAGGGUAUGCCCGUUUGAGUGUCAUUGUAAUCUCACACCCCUAGAUUUAUUCGACGGGCGGUGGACUUGGACGCUGCCGCGUUAAGCGGCUCGUCUUAAAUGCAUUAGUGCAACUUUCGGUUGGACAUAGUACAGCGUGAUAAGUAUCUUCGCUGGCUCUCCUCACGGAGGUGUUCGAACGUUAAGCUCUGUGCUUCUAAUCGUCCCCUGUGGACUAAGCUUCGGCUUACUUGACAACUUGACCUCAAAUCGGGUAGGACUACCCGCUGAACUUAAGCAUAUCAAUAAGCGGAGGAAAAGAAACUAACAAGGAUUCCCCUAGUAAC
rnacentral:rRNA from 1 species